rnacentral:rRNA from 1 species
AUUGAACGCUGGCGGCAGGCCUAACACAUGCAAGUCGAGCGAGCGGCGGACGGGUGAGUAAUGUAUGGGGACUGCCCGAUAGAGGGGGAUAACUACUGGAAACGGUAGCUAAUACCGCAUACUAUCGGAUAACCCAUAUGGGAUUAGCUAGUAGGUGAGGUAAUGUCUCACCUAGGCGACGAUCCCUAGCUGGUCUGAGCGGAUGAUCAGCGCCAAUGGGACUGAGACACGGUCCAGACUCGUACGGAGGGAGAAGUGGGGAAUAUUGCACAAUGGGCUCAAGCCUGAUGCAGCCAUGCCGCGUGUAUGAAGAAGGCCCUAGGGUUGUAAAGUACUUUCAGUCGGGAAGCGUUACCAUCAGAAGAAGCACCGGCUAACUCCGUGCCAGCAGCCGCGGUAAUAC